GGGACCAUAUUUCAUGACAAUGUUAUUCUGUGUUUCCUUGCUGAAGAUUGAUAGUGAUUUGCUUGCACAGAAACGUAUAAAUAGCGGCUUGGGUUGCAAAUCUCAUCACAGAGAACUGAUCCAGUCUCCUGCUAGGACAACUUCCAUUGGAACAAUGAAGUCUUGCGCUCUUCUUGUGCUCUUGGUGCUCUUUGCCACUGUUGUCAUAGAAGACACAGCCGGGCAAGGGGGAGCUCCGGGAGCUGCAUUGCGUGCUCAGUGCAGUUGCUGUGGUAACACGUGCAGCACCGACCGUGGGAGAUGCUACUGCAGAGGCUGCACCUGUGUUGCAAUCGAUUACCCAAGAUAAAAGAUAGCCUCCCGUCGAGAGGAAACAUGACCAGUUACGGAAGAAAACACGAAACUAGUCACUCAGCUAAAUGUAAAGCUGGUGUAUCUGGACAUUUUUGUGAAUUUUGAGUUCAGCAAUAAGUGGUCAUAAUAAAGAUUGUAGUAAAUACGGUGUAUCUACUGCAUUGUCAAAGUCCC